GUGCCAGCAGCCGCGGUAAUACGAAGGGUGCAAGCGUUACUCGGAAUUACUGGGCGUAAAGCGUGCGUAGGUGGUUGUUUAAGUCUGUUGUGAAAGCCCUGGGCUCAACCUGGGAAUUGCAGUGGAUACUGGGCGACUAGAGUGUGGUAGAGGGUAGUGGAAUUCCUGGUGUAGCAGUGAAAUGCGUAGAGAUCAGGAGGAACAUCCAUGGCGAAGGCAGCUACCUGGACCAACACUGACACUGAGGCACGAAAGCGUGGGGAGCAAACAGGAUUAGAUACCCUGGUAGUCCACGCCCUAAACGAUGCGAACUGGAUGUUGGGUGCAAUUUGGCACGCACUAUCCAAGCUAA
rnacentral:rRNA from 1 species